GACGAAGGGAGCGAGCGUUAUUCGGUUUCACUGGGCUUAGAGGGCGCGUAGGCGGUCUGGUGUGUCGGAUGUGAAAUCCCUGGGCUUAACUCAGGAAUUGCUUCCGAAACUGCCGGACUUGAGGCAUUUUGGGGCGACUGGAACUCUUGGUGGAGCGGUGACAUGCGUAGAUAUCAAGAGGAACGCCGGUGGUGAAGACGGGUCGCUGGAAAUGUCCUGACGCUGAGGCGCGAAAGCCAGGGGAG
rnacentral:rRNA from 1 species